AAAGACAUUCCAAACUCAUAUGAGUUUCAGUUCAAGAGUGUUACAUUACACCUCAUAAACAUACAUUUAAAACUAGUUCACCUCAGCAAUGGAGUAAAUAAAGUCUUGUUCAAUAGCACUCUAAAAUUAUUUGAAUUUAUAUAUGCUAGCCAUCUUUGAUAAGGGCAAAUAAAAUUUCAUGUACUAGAACAAAUCUUCAAAUAAAAUAUUUCAUUAAUAAGACUUUCAUCAUGCUUUGAGAGUGUUACCUUCCACAGGGCAAACAUGAUGGUAUAUUGUAUUUAGUGUCUGUACAAGUAUUUGGAGCCAAUGAUCCAACCAACUUAAUCUGGAUCUAAAUUCAUCACCAACCCAACACAAUGCUAUAUGCAUAUCACCAUGUCUAAGAGUGUUCAGCAUUUAGUAAUAUAAUUAUUCCUUUUAACUAGGAUAAACACAGCGUAAUAUAAUCUUUAUCCUGAGAAUAUUCUUUCAUAAGGAGCUAAAUAAAUUCAUUUGAUAGCACUCUAGUGCUACUCACAUUGAAAAAAUGUCCAACUUGUAAAACCAUUAGAUCUAAAAAUCAACGUUCAUCAAAAUAUGUUUAGAUAUAAUAUAAACAAGAUAUAAAUCUUGAACAAGCCAAAUCAGAUCAUGCUCCAAAAGAGUGCAACAUUUAGUGUGAGAUCCAAAUCGAACAACUAAAAUGAUUAUAUAAAACCAAAGUUUUGGUCAUAUCUGGUAUCAGCAUGAACCCAAAAUGACGAUGAAUUUCGUAAAGCAAGUAUAAUAACAUGUAUUUGAACUAACAUAAAUAGGAUAUGGAUUUUUAACCAAUAUCCAAACAAAUUCAAAUCUGAAUAUAUCAUGAUUCAAAUUGAAUACAAAUAUGGAUCUUAAGCAAUAAGAAGAUCCAAAGCAAAAAUCCAAAUGAUUAUUUAGAUUCAGAUCAUACCAAUGUGGGUCCACACACAAUAAUAUCAACACUAUACUUGAUAUGCAUUUAAACAAGUAAAGAUGAUCCAAAUUCAAAUCCAAUAUGAACGUGUUUCAACAUAAUAUCUAUAUUCAAAUACGACACAAGAUUUAUACCGCCAUUAGGUCUUGCACACAAAAAAUAACAAAAUUGCAUAAGUAAACAUAUAUGCUGCCAAUCAUUUUUCAGUUUUCGUGUCUCAAGCUCCCACUCUUGAAGUCAUUUCUAAAUUAAUUCUAUAACAAGUAUAGAACUAUAAUACAAAUAAUAUUCGAAUGUAUCACUUAAAGCAAGCAAAACUCACAUUAAAUUUUAGACCACGAGUUUUCCUUCUCAUUUUCAAAGUUAAUUUCAGAACCAUUUUUCUAAAAUUUUAAUAAGUUUGAGUGGUGCCUGUAUGCAAUUCUACAUAAAAUCUCCUUUCUCCGCCGAAAUUGCAAAACAAUUUUCUGAAACCCUCUUCCAGAAAUUUAUAAUAGCUCAGAGGGUACCAUUUCGCAAUUUCAUAUAAAAUUCUAGGUUUACACCGAAAUUAACUUUCGCAAGCCUCUUUCUGAAAACUUUUAAGCAAACAUGUUUCCGCAUUAAUUUGUUAAAAAAGUAACAGCGUUUUUGAAAAUACGGCCGAAAUGGUGGACUGAUUUUGCAAUCUUCAAACUUCAGGUAUAAAAACCCCUUGCGCUUGAUUUUCCUUCAUUUCACCGGUUUCCUUCUCUCUCCUCUCGAGAGCUUCUCUUGCCUCUCAUUGAAAACCCUUUGCUAGGGUUUCGCCCGCCGUCGGCUUCGCCAACAUCACCGGCUUCUUCAUCAUCUCCGGCCUGGCAAUGGGGAUGGAGCCCAUCUACGGCCAGGUGUUCGGAGCCAAGAAGCAUUCACUCCCGGUUUUCCUUCACCGCCACGGUGAGGUCGUCGUUCUAUUCUAGUUCUACCGCACAGAGGGUGGCAAAGGUAGAGUUCGACUAGCAGAGAGCAACUUUGAGCCAUCCUUUUCAGAUUAGGGUUCAUCCGGCGCUUUAGGCCGCCGCUACCUCCUCCUCAGUUCUCGACAUUUCUGUGCUGCCAUCCUGAGGAGGACAACCUCUCAAUCUCUGCUCUCGUUGAAACAGAGAUGCACCGGUAGACCCAGAGGAACAACAGAGGAGGUUUGCAGUGCUUCAAAAGCAGUUUUCGUCCUUUACUUAAGUUUACUCUCUGCUACCAGCAUGAGAAAAUCUCAGCUUUUGUCAGACGAAAGAAUCCCGUCCUUUACCAUGAGGCUGUUGAGUCGGACUCUCAAUCGGCAUACGGUGAGCCAAGGCUUCACUAUGAUCAAGAUCGAAUUUCACUUACUGGAAUUCGAUACGUAUGGCUCUGAUACCACUGUUGAGGAAACUUACGAUGCAGCGGAAGUUGCAAGUCGUCGCCUGUAAGAUCACCAACAGCUUUAGUUCCAUGUAGAACUCGUCCCUGUAGAAAACAGCACAAGAGGAAGAAGAGGAAGUUGAAGAGUAUGUCAGUUUUGGGGUUUCCUUCUAAGGGGCUCCUCAUAUAUAAUCAACAUUAUAUUACUUAGUCUCGCUGGAUAUAAAUAGCCAGCCCCUUAUGUUUUUCCCAAAUCCAAUCCAGCAGCGGUUACAGUGAGUGAGAGAUUUUAGGUGAACAUUAAAGCUCAUAACUACAAGUGGGCCCCCUUGCAUUUACUGAAUGAGUAGUGCUCUUGGCCACUA